rnacentral:lncRNA from 1 species
CACAGCCUACAGGUACCACGCCUAGCUCAACAUGCGCAACUAGUUAGUUCGUUAUGCCUCAAAUUUGCAGCUCAUCACGUGACAUUGUUAACUUUCUUCGAUGAACUUGAUGUUGCUAGUUAAUUAGCGGCACUCCGUUGAUAAGUUCGUUGUGACGAACUGACGAUGUGCAAACCUUGCAUGUCAACCUAACAAGACAUUCGCACGGUGCUAAUUUGCAUUCUUGUGAGAA